CCUACGGGGGGCUGCAGUGGGGAAUAUUGGACAAUGGGCGAAAGCCUGAUCCAGCCAUGCCGCGUGUGUGAAGAAGGCCUUCGGGUUGUAAAGCACUUUCAGUGGGGAAGAAAGCCUUGGGGCUAAUACCCUCGAGGAAGGACAUCACCCACAGAAGAAGCACCGGCUAACUCUGUGCCAGCAGCCGCGGUAAUACGGAGGGUGCGAGCGUUAAUCGGAAUUACUGGGCGUAAAGCGCGCGUAGGCGGUCUGAUAAGCCGGUUGUGAAAGCCCCGGGUUCAACCUGGGAACGGCAUCCGGAACUGUCAGGCUAGAGUGCAGGAGAGGAAGGUAGAAUUCCCGGUGUAGCGGUGAAAUGCGUAGAGAUCGGGAGGAAUACCAGUGGCGAAGGCGGCCUUCUGGACUGACACUGACGCUGAGGUGCGAAAGCGUGGGUAGCAAACAGGAUUAGAUACCCCAGUAGUC
rnacentral:rRNA from 1 species